rnacentral:misc_RNA from 1 species
AACGCACAUUGCGCCCCUUGGUAUUCCGGGGGGCAUGCCUGUUCGAGCGUCAUUACAACCCUCAAGCUCUGCUUGGUCUUGGGCGUCACCGGUCCCCGGUGUGCCUCAAAAUCAGUGGCGGCGCCACCUGGCUCUAAGCGUAGUACAUCCUCUCGCUACAGACGCCCGGUGGAUGCUGGCCAGCAACCCCCCCAUCUAUCAAGGUUGACCUCGGAUCAGGUAGGGAUACCCGCUGAACUUAA